CCUACGGGUGGCAGCAGUGAGGAAUAUUUGUCAAUGGACGAGAGUCUGAACCAGCCAAGUAGCGUGAAGGAUGACUGCCCUCUGGGUUGUAAACUUCUUUUAUAAAGGAAUAAAACGAGGCACGUGUGCCUUUUUGCAUGUACUUUAUGAAUACGGCUCGGCUAACUCCGUGCCAGCAGCCGCGGUAAUACGGAGGAUCCGAGCGUUAUCCGGAUUUAUUGGGUUUAAAGGGAGCGUAGUUGGGUUGUUAAGUCAGUUGUGAACGUUGGCGACUCAACCGUAAAAUUGCAAGUGAUACUGGCAGUCUUGAGUACAGUAGGGGUAAGCGGAAUUCGUGGUGUAGCGGUGAAAUGCUUAGAUAUCACGAAGAACCCCGAUUGCGAAGGCAGCUUACUAAGAUGGGACUGACAUUGAGGCUCGAAAGUGUAGGGAUCAAACAGGAUUAGAUACCCUGGUAGUC
rnacentral:rRNA from 1 species